rnacentral:lncRNA from 1 species
UGUGAUAGUCCUUGGGCUGUAUAUUUAUGUUACCUACAAAAAACCAGUGUGAAUUGGGGAUCCUCUACACAAGCCCUGACUUACCUGAAUGCACUGCAGCAUUCAAUUCGUCUUUCUGGAGUGGAAGACCACGUGAAAAACUUUAGCCACAGUGUCUUGUUAUGACAGGUGCUCCAAACUCACGUCCAGCUUUACUUCAUCUUGUUCAUGAUUUCACAAAAAAUGUUGGUUUGAUGAUCUGUGGCCAUGUACAUAUGGUCCUCGAAGACAAGCCAUGAAAGAGAUGUCCAUCGAUCAAGCCAAAUAUCAGCGAUGGCUUAUUAAGAACAAAAUGAAGGCAUUUUAUGCUCCAGUACAUGCAGAUGACUUGAGAGAAGGUGCACAGUAUUUGAUGCAGCUGCUGGUCUUGGUCGUAUGAAGCCAAACACACUUGUCCUUGGAUUUAAGAAAGAUUGGUUGCAAGCAGAUAUGAGGGAUGUGGAUAUGUAUAUAAACUUAUUUCAGAUGCUUUUGACAUACAAUAUGGAGUAGUGGUUAUUCGCCUAAAAGAAGGUCUGGAUAUAUCUCAUCUUCAAGGACAAGAGAAUUAUUGUCAUCACAAGAGAAAUCUCCUGGCACCAAGGAUGUGGUAGUAAGUGUGGAAUAUAGUAAAAAGUCCGAUUUAGAUACUUCCAAACCACUCAGUGAAAAACCAAUUACACACAAAGAUCCAAAGGCCCUAUUGUGCCUUUAAAUGUAGCUGACCAAAAGCUUCUUGAAGCUAGUACACAGUUUCAGAAAAAACAAGGAAAGAAUACUAUUGAUGUCUGGUGGCUUUUUGAUGAUGGAGUUUGACCUUAUUGAUACCUUACCUUCUGACGACCAAGAAAAAAUGGAAAGACUGUAAGAUCAGAGUAUUCAUUGGUGGAAAGAUAAACAGAAUAGACCA